UCGAGCGAAUCGAUGGGAGCUUGCUCCCUGAGAUUAGCGGCGGACGGGUGAGUAACACGUGGGCAACCUGCCUAUAAGACUGGGAUAACUUCGGGAAACCGGAGCUAAUACCGGAUACGUUCUUUUCUCGCAUGAGAGAAGAUGGAAAGACGGUUUACGCUGUCACUUAUAGAUGGGCCCGCGGCGCAUUAGCUAGUUGGUGAGGUAAUGGCUCACCAAGGCGACGAUGCGUAGCCGACCUGAGAGGGUGAUCGGCCACACUGGGACUGAGACACGGCCCAGACUCCUACGGGAGGCAGCAGUAGGGAAUCUUCCGCAAUGGACGAAAGUCUGACGGAGCAACGCCGCGUGAACGAAGAAGGCCUUCGGGUCGUAAAGUUCUGUUGUUAGGGAAGAACAAGUACCAGAGUAACUGCUGGUACCUUGACGGUACCUAACCAGAAAGCCACGGCUAACUACGUGCCAGCAGCCGCGGUAAUACGUAGGUGGCAAGCGUUGUCCGGAAUUAUUGGGCGUAAAGCGCGCGCAGGUGGUUCCUUAAGUCUGAUGUGAAAGCCCACGGCUCAACCGUGGAGGGUCAUUGGAAACUGGGGAACUUGAGUGCAGAAGAGGAAAGUGGAAUUCCAAGUGUAGCGGUGAAAUGCGUAGAGAUUUGGAGGAACACCAGUGGCGAAGGCGACUUUCUGGUCUGUAACUGACACUGAGGCGCGAAAGCGUGGGGAGCAAACAGGAUUAGAUACCC
rnacentral:rRNA from 2 species